GGCGCAUUUCGGUGUUGGCGUAGGCGUCAGCGCGCUGUCCUGGAGGAAAAAAGUUUUCCGGAGUGCAGUUGCUUGUCUGUGUGCCACCUUUUCAAAAAGGCACGACUUUCCUCCAGGGAAAGAAAGUGCCGGCUGGUAUUUGCUCUUGCCCGGGAGGGACAGCAGUCCGGGCUCGGACGGCCCGGCUCGGCUCCGGCCGCCACCGGGCUGUCACGUUGCCGGGUCCUGAGGUGGGGGGGGGACCUCUCUUUGCCUCGCCUGCUCGGAGGUCGCUCCCGCUCCGCCUGCGCCGGCGUCAGGCCCCCUCCAGCUAACGCGAGCAGACAGAUCAUAAUAACAGUAAGAGGCCUUUCCUGUCCUGUGUCAUGCUUGGAAAGAUUAGUUCCUCUUCACAAAACCGAGGAGUGGAGACCUGCCCACCCCAUGACACAAGAGGGCAAACACGGACACACAAUUCCUCCAACACUCUGAAGUCUGAAGACCCUCAACAGGCUGAAGUGAAAUUAUAUCAGAAGGGGUUCAAAUCCAAUUACAAUUUUAAAUAUUUGAAUGUAACUUAGAUCUGAUGCACAUAUACGAAUGUCACAAGUUCACCAUUGUGGGUUAAUAUACAUGUGGGAAAUUUUUAACAGAUCAAAAAAAUUUUUGGAACCGUUUUUAUUUUAAUUUACAGACACUCUCAGGAAAAUCCCCCAAAAGAAAUGAAUGAUUUUGGCGAAUCAAGCAUCACUAUGAAAGUGGCCCUUAAUUUGUAAAGCUGUAGCUUUUAAAUCAUAUUGUUAUUAAUUGCUGCAUUCACAACAUACUACUACUACU
rnacentral:lncRNA from 1 species